ACUCAGAUUCUCCCCAAACGCCAAGGAUGGGGGUCAUGGCUCCCCGAACCCUCCUCCUGCUGCUCUUGGGGGCCCUGGCCCUGACCGAGACCUGGGCCGCGACUCCGUGAGUCCGAGGAUGGAGCGGCGGGCGCCGUGGGUGGAGCAGGAGGGGCUGGAGUAUUGGGACCAGGAGACACGGAACGCCAAGGGCCACGCGCAGAUUUACCGAGUGAACCUGCGGACCCUGCUCCGCUAUUACAACCAGAGCGAGGCCGGUAUGAACAGUUCGCCUACGAUGGCAAGGAUUACAUCGCCCUGAACGAGGACCUGCACUCCUGGACCGCCGCGAACACAGCGGCUCAGAUCUCCCAGCACAAGUGGGAAGCGGACAAAUACUCAGAGCAGGUCAGGGCCUACCUGAGGGCAAGUGCAUGGAGUGGCUCCGCAGACACCUGGAGAACGGGAAGGAGACGCUGCAGCACGCGGAUCCCCCAAAGGCACAUGUGACCCAGCACCCCAUCUCUGACCAUGAGGCCACCCUGAGGUGCUGGGCCCUGGGCCUCUACCCUGCGGAGAUCACACUGACCUGGCAGCAGGAUGGGGAGGACCAGACCCAGGACACGGAGCUUGUGGAGACCAGGCCUGCAGGGGACGGAACCUUCCAGAAGUGGGUGGCUGUAGUGGUGCCUUCCGGAGAGGAGCAGAGAUACAUGUGCCAUGUGCAGCAUGAGGGGCUGCCAGAGCCCCUCACCCUGAGAUGGGAGCCGUCUUCUCAGCCCACCAUCCCCAUCGUGGGCAUCGUUGCUGGCCUGUUUCUCCUUGGAGCUGUGGUCACUGGAGCUGUGGUUGCUGCUGCGAUGUGGAGGAAGAAAAGCUCAGGCAGCAAUUGUGCUCAGUACUCUGAUGCAUCUCAUGAUACUUGUAAAGCUUGAGACAACUGCCUUGAGUGGGACUGAGAGAUACAAAAUUUCUUCAGGUCCUUCCUCUGACACACACCAUUGUAAUUUCAAGAGCUCCUGACUUCUAUAUCUGCACUUGACACGUGAAUAUAUCUAUGUGUCUGUGUUCCAGUUAGCAUAAUGUGAGGAAAUGGGCUACUGGUCCACCACUGCCACCAGGACCACCACCCCACACUAACCUGUCCUCUCUUCCCCGGUCAAGUUUUUUUUCAACAGAGAGGACUAUGCCUGUUCCUGUUCUGGUGUCUGCGUUCUGAUCUCUUUCUCCCCUGGGUGUCCCUCAUCUCUGACAGCAGCAGGAGUCAUUUUUCCUGUCAUUAACCCCACAAGGUGGAAGGCAGCCCCUGCACACAGAAGUCUGUGGUAUUAAGAGAUGAAUUUUCAAGCCCGUGCAGCUUUUACCCUAUUUCCAGGGCUCUUUCUUGGAUUGUAUUUUCUAUCUUUUCCCCAACCUUUUUAAAGGAACUAGAUUCUGAAAUUAGCAGAGAAGAGGGAUGCCACAAGUUCUCAUCUUAGGUAACUUUCUAGUGGAACUCCUCUUCUGCUCAGCUCUCCUACCCACUCUCCCUUCCCUGAGUUGUAGUAAUCCUAGCACUGGCUCUAAUGCAAACUCAUGGAUCUAUAAAGCAAAGUCUAACUUAGAUUUAUAUUUGUUUGGAAAUUGGGAUUCAUAGUCAAAGAUUGUUCUUUCCUAAGAGGGAAAUAUAAUUGCAUGCUGCAGUGUGCAGAGGGUUGGUGUGAAGGAGGGAUGCAGGGAGGAAGGGAGGGAGGACACACAAGCAGCACUGCUGGGAAAAGCACAGGCGGCCUGGAUGUCAGUGUGAGGGGACCUUGUGCUGUCGUUGCUGCAAAACCGCAUUUGGCCUGAGGCUAUGUUAAUAAAGAUACUGCCUUUAGAAUA
ensembl:lncRNA HLA-L major histocompatibility complex, class I, L (pseudogene)